rnacentral:rRNA from 1 species
AACGAACGCUGGCGGCAUGCCUAACACAUGCAAGUCGAACGAGAAGUUCGGGCCUAGUGGCGCUCGGGGGGGUAACAAGUGGGAACCUGCCCUUAGGUUCGGAAUAACUCCCCGAAAGGGGUGCUAAGAACGGUGAGGGUCUUAGGGCCAAAGAGUUAUGGCGUUUGGCUGGGGCUGGGUUGGAUUAGGUGGUUGGUAGGGUAAAAGCCUACCAAGGGGACGAUGCAUAGCUGGUGUGAGAGGAUGCUCAGCCACACUGGGACUGCGACACGGCCCAGACCCGUACGGAAGGCAGCAGUGGGGAAUAUUGGACGAUGGGCGAAAGCGUGACCCAGCCACGUCGCGUGAGUGAUGAAGGCCUUAGUGUUGUAAAGCUCUUUUACCCGGGAUGAUAAUGACAGUACCGGGUGAAUAAGCUCCGGCUAACUACGUG